AGUAAAAUGAGUGAACUAUGAACCACUUUACCAUCACAUAGAAGAAACACAAGCACAUCAUGGCUGAAUAUGUUUUGCAGAAAUCGUUGAAUAGGAAUCAGUCCACCAAAAGGCCUCUACCUACACAGCACAACCCAGCACAGUACAAGACAGAUAAACAUGGACAAACAUCUUUGCCUUGAGUGGAAUUCAAACACGCAAUCCUACUGUUCAAGUGGUCCAAAGAAAUGCAGACCUCAGAUGAAAUUGCCACCAUUACUGUUUCAUCCUUUAUUAUUGAUUAUGGGACUAAAAUGCAAUUAGGUUAUUUUCUAGGAAGCAAUAUUCUUUUUCAGUAUGAUGCUAAGUAUCUAAUUACAAUCAAAUAAUUAUCUAUAUAACAUCUGACGUUCAUACAAUCAAAUGGAUUAAAUGUCAUUCUCUUCUCACUCACCAUGAUACGAUUCUUGAGUUUUGUAUUUAGAAGUGCAAUAAAAAAUUCAAAAACUUUAUUGGCAUAAUGUGGAACAUUGAAGAAGUGUGUUGCUUUGUGGCGCAUUGGUGUAGAAUUCUGUAAGCAAAAUCAGAGUUAUUGUUGUUUUCAUACAAUACAAAAGUACAGUUUACUAUUAUAACAUACAGUGCAUCUCCUAGUAUAUUACCCAAAUAAGAAUGGUGUGAAUACUUUCUCUUUAGUCACAUGAAUGUCCAGUGAAAAAUAAGUUUCACAUUAUUAAAAUUAUGAUAUCUAUUUUCAAAUUCUUGAAAUAGCAAUAUUUAGCAUUAGCAAUCAGAAGAUCCUUGUUUUAAUGGUUAUGAUUGAUGCUAUGUAGUAUGAUUUAUUGACAGCAAUAUUAAAUAAAAUGCUAAAAAAUAGA